rnacentral:lncRNA from 1 species
AGAGAGAGAGAGAGAGAGAGAGAGAGAGGAGCUGCCUCUCUUUUUGGGUUAUUAUUAGUGCUGCUGUCUGUUGGAAGGAAGCCAAUGUCGCUUGCCAAACUCCAAACAAGGCUUCUCACUCGGUGGCGGGAGCGUGAAAGCAAUGCAGGGGAAGCAAACUCUCCCUAUGAGGAGGAAGCAGCAGUGAAGUAUCUCAGUUUCUGGUUGCACCAUCGAGAGAGAGAUAUAGAGGCUUUGAAGAGGCUAUUAUGAGGACUUUUG